GGUUAAGCGACUAAGCGUACACGGUGGAUGCCUAGGCAAUCAGAGGCGAUGAAGGACGUGCUAAUCUGCGAAAAGCGUCGGUAAGGUGAUAUGAACCGCUAUAGCCGACGAUGUCCGAAUGGGGAAACCCAGUGCAAUUCGUUGCACUAUCGUUUGAUGAAUCCAUAGUCAAACGAGGCGAACCGAGGGAACUGAAACAUCUCAGUACCUCGAGGAAAAGAAAUCAACCGAGAUUCCCCUAGUAGCGGCGAGCGAACGGGGAGCAGCCCAGAGUCUUAAUCAGCAUCAGCAUCAGGAGAACGGUCUGGAAAGUCCGGCAGUAAAGGGUGAUAGCCCCGUAUCCGAAGGUGUUGGUGUUGUGAACUCGACGAGUAGGGCGGGACACGUGUUAUCCUGUCUGAAUAUGGGGGGACCAUCCUCCAAGGCUAAAUACUCCUGAUUGACCGAUAGUGAACCAGUACCGUGAGGGAAAGGCGAAAAGAACCCCGGCGAGGGGAGUGAAAUAGAACCUGAAACCGUGUACGUACAAGCAGUGGGAGCACCUUUUAGGUGUGACUGCGUACCUUUUGUAUAAUGGGUCAGCGACUUAUAUUCUGUAGCAAGGUUAACCGUAUAGGGGAGCCGUAGGGAAACCGAGUCUUAACUGGGCGAAUAAGUUGCAGGGUAUAGACCCGAAACCCGGUGAUCUAGCCAUGGGCAGGUUGAAGGUUGGGUAACACUAACUGGAGGACCGAACCGACUAAUGUUGAAAAAUUAGCGGAUGACUUGUGGCUGGGGGUGAAAGGCCAAUCAAACCGGGAGAUAGCUGGUUCUCCCCGAAAGCUAUUUAGGUAGCGCCUCGUGAACUCAUCUUCGGGGGUAGAGCACUGUUUCGGCUAGGGGGUCAUCCCGACUUACCAACCCGAUGCAAACUACGAAUACCGAAGAAUGUUAUCACGGGAGACACACGGCGGGUGCUAACGUUCGUCGUGAAGAGGGAAACAACCCAGACCGCCAGCUAAGGUCCCAAAGUCAUGGUUAAGUGGGAAACGAAGUGGGAAGGCUCAGACAGCCAGGAUGUUGGCUUAGAAGCAGCCAUCAUUUAAAGAAAGCGUAAUAGCUCACUGGUCGAGUCGGCCUGCGCGGAAGAUGUAACGGGGCUAAACCAUGCACCGAAGCUGCGGCAGCGACAUUUAGAUGUUGUUGGGUAGGGGAGCGUUCUGUAAGCCUGUGAAGGUGUGCUGCGAGGCAUGCUGGAGGUAUCAGAAGUGCGAAUGCUGACAUAAGUAACGAUAAUGCGGGUGAAAAACCCGCACGCCGGAAGACCAAGGGUUCCUGUCCAACGUUAAUCGGGGCAGGGUGAGUCGACCCCUAAGGCGAGGCAGAAAUGCGUAGUCGAUGGGAAACAGGUUAAUAUUCCUGUACUGGUGAUAAUUGCGAUGGGGGGACGGAGAAGGCUAGGCUGGCCGGGCGACGGUUGUCCCGGUUUAAGGAUGUAGGCAGGUGAAUUAGGCAAAUCCGGUUCACUACAUGCUGAGGUCUGAUGACGAGUCACUACGGUGGCGAAGUAGCUCAUGCCCCGCUUCCAGGAAAAGCCUCUAAGCUCUAGAUUAUCAUUAAUCGUACCCCAAACCGACACAGGUGGUCAGGUAGAGAAUACUCAGGCGCUUGAGAGAACUCGGGUGAAGGAACUAGGCAAAAUGGUGCCGUAACUUCGGGAGAAGGCACGCUGGCGCUAGGUGAAGUCCCUCGCGGAUGGAGCUGAAGCCAGUCGCAGAUACCAGCUGGCUGCAACUGUUUAUUAAAAACACAGCACUGUGCAAACACGAAAGUGGACGUAUACGGUGUGACGCCUGCCCGGUGCUGGAAGGUUAAUUGAUGGGGUUAUCCGUAAGGAGAAGCUCUUGAUCGAAGCCCCAGUAAACGGCGGCCGUAACUAUAACGGUCCUAAGGUAGCGAAAUUCCUUGUCGGGUAAGUUCCGACCUGCACGAAUGGCGUAAUGAUGGCCAGGCUGUCUCCACCCGAGACUCAGUGAAAUUGAACUCGCUGUGAAGAUGCAGUGUACCCGCGGCAAGACGGAAAGACCCCGUGAACCUUUACUAUAGCUUGACACUGAACAUUGAGCCUUGAUGUGUAGGAUAGGUGGGAGGCUUUGAAGUGUGGACGCCAGUCUGCAUGGAGCCAACCUUGAAAUACCACCCUUUAAUGUUUGAUGUUCUAACGUGGCCCCAUAAUCUGGGGUGCGGACAGUGUCUGGUGGGUAGUUUGACUGGGGCGGUCUCCUCCCAAAGAGUAACGGAGGAGCACGAAGGUUGGCUAAGCAUGGUCGGACAUCAUGCGGUUAGUGCAAAGGCAUAAGCCAGCUUGACUGCGAGAGUGACGGCUCGAGCAGGUACGAAAGUAGGUCUUAGUGAUCCGGUGGUUCUGAAUGGAAGGGCCAUCGCUCAACGGAUAAAAGGUACUCCGGGGAUAACAGGCUGAUACCGCCCAAGAGUUCAUAUCGACGGCGGUGUUUGGCACCUCGAUGUCGGCUCAUCACAUCCUGGGGCUGAAGUAGGUCCCAAGGGUAUGGCUGUUCGCCAUUUAAAGUGGUACGCGAGCUGGGUUUAGAACGUCGUGAGACAGUUCGGUCCCUAUCUGCCGUGGGCGUUGGAAGAUUGAAAGGGGCUGCUCCUAGUACGAGAGGACCGGAGUGGACGCACCACUGGUGUUCGGGUUGUCAUGCCAAUGGCACUGCCCGGUAGCUAAGUGCGGAAGAGAUAACCGCUGAAAGCAUCUAAGCGGGAAACUUGCCUUGAGAUGAGUCUUCCCUGACUCUUUAAGGGUCCUAAAGGAACGUUUAAGACUAAGACGUUGAUAGGCUGGGUGUGUAAGCGUAGCGAUACGUUGAGCUAACCAGUACUAAUGAACCGUGAGGCUUAACCUG
rnacentral:rRNA from 1 species